UCCCUACGGGAGGCAGCAGUCGCGAAAACUUUGCAAUAAGCGCAGGCUUGACAGGGCUAUCCCGAGUGCCAUCCGCUGAGGAAGGCUUUUACCCAGUCUAGAACGCUGGGGGAAUAAGGAGAGGGCAAGUCUGGUGUCAGCCGCCGCGGUAAUACCAGCUCUCCGAGUGGUGUGGAUGUUUAUUGGGCCUAAAGCAUCCGUAGCUGGCUAAGUUAGUCCCCUGUUAAAUCCACCGAAUUAAUCGUUGGAUUGCGGGGGAUACUGCUUGGCUAGGGGACGAGAGAGGCAGACGGUAUUUUCGGGGUAGGGGUGAAAUCCUAUAAUCCCGGGAAGACCACCAGUGGCGAAGGCUGUCUGCUAGAACGCGCCCGACGGUGAGGGAUGAAAGCUGGGGGAGCGAACCGGAUUAGAUACCCGUGUAGUCUGU
rnacentral:rRNA from 1 species